rnacentral:ncRNA from 17 species
GGGUGCUAGCUGCAUGACGCAGUGACGCAGGUUAAAUAACUACGCAGGUCGGGCCGCCGUGCG